CACUGAGACGUCUGGGCUCUGCGUCUCCCAGGGCAGCGUGCAGGGUUGUGAGUCCCCGCCCCCCCAAGCCGUGGGUGCCGGGCUCUGCUGCUGCUCUCUUAUUUCUGCUAACACCCACCUCACGGAGCUCUGACUUCCCAGACGAGCGCCUCCUCGCCUGCGAGUUAUUCAUCAGCGCAUUAAAGCGUGCGAGUAUUGUGUCUGCAAGCGCCAAGCCCGCGGGAGCAAUCCGCCGUGACGGCCCGGACCUGGCGUGGGGCCCACGGGGCCUGCGCCGCGCGGGGAGGAGUCUGUUUCCUCUGCUGAUUAGGUGAGUUCAUCUCCUACACACAUUACAGGCUCCUUCACAUGGUGCUGACGCUUUAUCGUUUUUGUUUGAUUUGUCGAUGAUGGAGGCAGGGCUCUGAAAAUCGACGCCGUGCCUUUAAAAGGGACCGGGACUUCCCCGGGGAGUCUUUCAUUUCCCGGCUUGAUGACUUUUAGGUGUGGUUUCUCUUUUUUUCUCCUCUCCCCCUCCUGCGGCCGACCCCUGUGGAUUUCACUCCAGGCUUGGCACGGCCCCUCGCCCGUCUUCUGGUUCCCGGUGCCUGGCGUCCCUGGGAGUUGUGUGCAGCUGGGACACCGCGACGCAGCAAGAUCGGCGCUCGGUGGAUCACCGUCCCUGGGGUCAGGAGCCCGGAUGUGGACUUGGUGGGGUCCUCCUGUCCCCCUUAUCAUCGGCAAAGGUCUUUCCAGGUGCCCGGGGCUCUGCCUUGGCCGCCACACAAGGCCACGUCCUCCCGUCAGGGCCCUGGGGUCUCCACUCACCAGUCCACCCUGAGGGCUCUCACUGGACAUCUGCAGGCGGCUCGGGCCUCCUGACUGCACCAGGCCAGGCUCGCCUGGGCACCACGGCACGGCUCCGUGGCCAGAGAGCAACCCCGGGCAGCACGCCGGGCCACGCCGGCUCCCCUGUGCUCUGCCGGGGUCACAGCCACUCCGCCUCUGUCCAGACUCCGGCUGUCUCAGGUCAGCUCCUUCAGCAGCCGAUGACCAGGAGCAAAGUCUGUGUGCCCACUUUUUUAAAAUAAGGAUUUAUUUAUUUAUUUGCAAGUCAGAGUUACAGAGAGAGAGGGAGAGAUAGAGAGAGAGAGAGAGGUCUUCCAUCUGCUGGCUCACUCCCAAAAUGACUACAAUGGCUGGAGCGUGGGCCAUUCCAAAGCCAGGACCAAGCACUCGGGCCACGGGCCGCUGCUUUCCCAGGCCCAUCAGCAGGGAGCUGGGUCGGAAGUGGAGUAGCCGGGACUUGAACUGGGCCCACAGGGGAUGCAGGUGCCACAGGCCUUACUGGCUACACCACAGUGCCAGCCCUGAGAUUUAGUUUUCUUGCUAAGCUGUUCAAGGCUGAUCGAGUAAAACACUAGCAAUCGCGGGGUCGGCACAAGG
rnacentral:lncRNA from 1 species